AGUUGUUUUUGCGACGAUGUGCAGUUGUUGGUAUUUUUCAAAGUCACAGCUGCCGCGUGGAAUACAAAUGCAAUGCCGUCAAAAACCAAUAACAACAACAACAUCAACAACUUCGUCGUCAUUUUGCAGCGAGCGGAUGAUCACGUGAGCGAUUCAUGUUAAGGUAUUAGUCACUGUUACGCAAAGAGCACAUGUUUGGGGUUGAGGGUUGAAAAGUGCAUGUACACACCAAUACAGCUGUCGUUGCUGUCGACAGGAUAUUCGGCCAGCCAGGAUAUUUUGCCUUCAGCAGCAGGUCGUGCGGUCGUCGACAGUUCAACUUCAGCUUGCUGUGCCACUGCAACAUUCAGUCAGUUUAACACUUUGUGGCGCCGUGUGCGGCUGUAAAAAUUUCGUCUAUGUUAGUUAGUUCACUUUCAAAACGGCAACGUGCGGUUAUUUUCAAAACUUAGAAGAGAAAUUUUGUAUUUAUUUUUGGCAAAGCAAUACAGAAAUAAAGUUUACAUUUUGAAAUAUAA